ACUGCCGGCGACAAGCCGGAGGAAGGUGGGGAUGGACGUCAAGUCAUCAUGGCCCUUAUGUCCAGGGCGACACACGUGCUACAAUGGCCGGCACAGCGGGAAGCGGAGGGGCGACCCUGAGCGGAUCCCUUGAAAGACCGGUCCCAGUUCGGAUUGCAGUCUGCAACUCGACUGCAUGAAGUUGGAAUCGCUAGUAAUCGCGGAUCAGCCAAGCCGCGGUGAAUACGUUCCCGGGCCUU
rnacentral:rRNA from 1 species